rnacentral:rRNA from 1 species
GAUGAACGCUGGCGGCGUGCUUAACACAUGCAAGUCGAACGGUGAAGCAGGAGCUUGCUCCUGUGGAUCAGUGGCGAACGGGUGAGUAACACGUGAGCAAUCUGCCCUGGACUCUGGGAUAAGCGUUGGAAACGACGUCUAAUACCGGAUACGAGGCGUGGGGGCAUCCCCAACGCCUGGAAAGAACUUCGGUCCAGGAUGAGCUAGCGGCCUAUCAGGUAGUUGGUGAGGUAACGGCUCACCAAGCCUACGACGGGUAGCCGGCCUGAGAGGGUGACCGGCCACACUGGGACUGAGACACGGCCCAGACUCCUACGGGGGGCAGCAGUUAGGAAUAUUGGACAAUGGGCGCAAGCCUGAUCCAGCCAUGCCGCGUGAGUGAUGAAGGCCUUCGGGUUGUAAAGCUCUUUAGCCGACGAAUGUAAUGACUGUAGUCGGAGAAUAAGCCCCGGCUAACUUCGUGCCAGCCGCCGCCGUAACAC